UUGCAAGUCGAACGGGUAUCUUCGGAUACUAGGUGGCAGACGGGUGAGUAACACGUGGGAACGUACCUUUCGGUUCGGAAUAAUUCAGGGAAACUUGGACUAAUACCGGAUAAGCCCUUCGGGGGAAAGAUUUAUCGCCGAUAGAUCGGCCCGCGUCUGAUUAGCUAGUUGGUGAGGUAAUGGCUCACCAAGGCGACGAUCAGUAGCUGGUCUGAGAGGAUGAUCAGCCACAUUGGGACUGAGACACGGCCCAAACUCCUACGGGAGGCAGCAGUGGGGAAUAUUGGACAAUGGGCGAAAGCCUGAUCCAGCCAUGCCGCGUGAGUGAUGAAGGCCUUAGGGUUGUAAAGCUCUUUUGUCCGGGAAGAUAAUGACUGUACCGGAAGAAUAAGCCCCGGCUAACUUCGUGCCAGCAGCCGCGGUAAUACGAAGGGGGCUAGCGUUGCUCGGAAUCACUGGGCGUAAAGGGCGCGUAGGCGGACUUUUAAGUCGGGGGCGAAAGCCCAGGGCUCAACCCUGGAAUUGCCUUCGAUACUGAGAGUCUUGAGUUCGGAAGAGGUUGGUGGAACUGCGAGUGUAGAGGUGAAAUUCGUAGAUAUUCGCAAGAACACCAGUGGCGAAUGCGGCC
rnacentral:rRNA from 1 species